GUUUACUGGUGUAUUGAUCACUCUACUGUUGCUCUUUCUGCUUUACUGCAUAAAGUCAAAGGGUCUGUGUCACAAAAGGCUCACACAGUCUGAAACAAUCAUCCAGGAAGAAAAUCAACAGCAUGUGUACUCGGCUCUUUCCCACGGUGAUCAUUGUGUUUAUGAGACAGUUAGAGGAUCUGAAGAUGCUGGACCAGGUGGAUCACAAAUACAGUUCAUCAAAUCAGACUAGACGAGCUGCAGUUCUGCAUGUCUGUGGUAUUUUUUGGGUGCCUUAUUUUAAAUGUAAUUAUUUUAUCAAUUAUUAUAUCAAAUCAUCCUAUUUAACCCCCUCAUGCACGAAU